UACAGAGGGUGCGAGCGUUAUCCGGAAUCACUGGGCGUAAAGGGCGCGUAGGUGGCCCGACAAGUCAGUGGUGAAAGUUCGACGCUUAACGUCGAAUCGGCCACUGAUACUGUUGGGCUGGAGCACUGUAGAGGCUCAUGGAAUUCCGGGUGUAGCGGUGGAAUGCGUAGAGAUCCGGAAGAACACCGGUGGCGAAGGCGGUGAGCUGGGCAGUUGCUGACACUGAGGCGCGACAGCGUGGGGAGCAAACAGG
rnacentral:rRNA from 1 species